CCCUGACCGUUAAACUUAUACGCACCUUACAAGUAAAGUCGCCCCACACCAUUUCAACUCUAAACUGGUGUCUUCUUCUUUCUCAUUUUUAAACUCGGCAGCUCAUCUCCACUGGGCCUGUCCCCAGAUGACCAAGUGGACCCGGGUUUGGAGAGCAGGUUGGCUGUGAUGACCGCUCUAGUUCAUCAGAAGAAUGAGGUCAUUCGCCACCUUCAGCAGAGGCUCAGAAAGCUGCAGAAUCAGGAGAGUGUCACCGCUAUCAAUGGCAACCAGCCCAUAAUAUCUACUCAAAACACAGAAGCCGAGCAGCACCUAGCUGAGUCCCCAUCGGCCAACACCUCUAGUCCCACCACUGCAGCAGCCAGCAACACCCACGCCCAGGCUGAGGUCUCAGCCAGCACCUCCAGCUACCAGCUCAGCGCCUCAUGCAGCACCCGCAGCCCCAGCU